rnacentral:lncRNA from 1 species
UUGAGGCCAGGGGAUUACUGACACUGCAAGAGCUGUUCCUGCUUCUGCAGCUGACUAGGUCCAAACAGGCCAGCUGUCAUGGUGUGAUACUCCUUUGUGGGACACCCUACAAGGGCUGAGUAACCCCUGGAAAGGUGGUUUGUGUGGUGGUACCAGUGACUCAGAAUUGAAGCUUAUAAAAUAUGAAGAACAUGCAAAGUCUCUCAGAGAAUAAACAGUGUUAUUUCCUGACAAAGCUGCACACUGACAAUUAUUGAGCAACAGCAUGAAAUGCAGAAGAUAUAGAAACCCUAAAAAUGGAACUGACGUGAUUGUGAGACGCCCACACAAACUAAGAGCACAAGAGAUUCACAGGUUUGUGUUCACAAGCACUUGGGAUGAUCUUCUUGGAUGUAACAGGGAGUGAUCUUUUGCUAUGAAAACAAGCCACGGCCACGCGGUAUCUUUUGCCAAACAGCCCAGCCAUAGCCUUGUUGAAGCACAGUUGCAUCAUCUAGCUUUAGAGCUGGACUGUCUUUUAGGCUAGCAAUCUCCUCUAGUACUGGGAGGAAGUGUGCUUGGUGCCUCUGCAAUCUCAUCAGUUAAUGACCUCUGCCUGCAGUGGUGAUUAUACUUGCAGAAGUG